ensembl:lncRNA
GUGUUGGCCCCCUUCCUGAUUUCUCAUGUUUGUCACACUUUAAUGUUUCAGAUCAUCAAACUAAUUUAAAUAUUAGUAAAAGAUAACACAAGUAAACACAACAUGCAGUUUUUAAAUAAAUUUAAAUUAAGGGAAAACAAAAUCCAAAACUACAUUGCCCUGUGUGAAAAAGUGUUUACCCCCCAAAACUUAAUAACUGGUUGGGCCACCCUUAGCAGCAACAACUGCAAUCAAGUGUUUGCAAUAAAUUGCAAUGAGUCUGUUUCAGCACUGUGGAGGAAUGUUGGUCCACUCAUCUAUGCAGAAUUGUUAUAAUUCAGCAACACUGAAAGUGAAGUGACAUAGAGCCAAGUAUGAUGACCCAUACUCAGAAUUCGUGCUCUGCAUUUAACCCAUCCAAAGUGCACACACACAGCAGUGAACACACACACAACGUGAACACACACCCGGAGCAGUGGGCAGCCAUUUAUGCUGCGGCACCCGGGGAGCAUGCCUUAGUGCCUUGCUCAAGAGCACCUCAGUCGUGGUAUUGCCGGCCCAAGACUCGAAACCACAACCUUAGGGUUAGGAGUCUCUAACCACUAGGCCACGACUUCCUUGGAGGGUUUUCGAGCAUGAACCACCUUUUUAAGGUCAUGCCACAGGAUCUCAAUAGGAUUCAAGUCAGGACUUUGACAAGGCCACUCCAAAGAACAGAUGGCCGGACAUUCUCCUUCAAGAUUUUUUGGUAAACAGCAGAAUUCAUGGUACCAUUUAUCACAGCAAGUCUUCCAGGUCCUGAAGCAGCAAAACAGCCCCAGACCAUCACACUACCACCACCAUAUUUACUGUUGGUAUGAUGUUCUUUUUCUGAAACGCAGUGUUACUUUUACACCAGACGUAAUGGGACACACACCUUCCAAAAAGUUCAACUUUUGUCUCGUCAGUCCACAGAGUAUUUUCCCAAAAGUCUUGGGGAUCAUCAAGAUGUUUUCUGUCAAAACUGAGAAAAGCCUUUAUGUUCUUUUUGCUCAGCAACACUGACCAUAACUGAGGCAAGUCAGGCCUGCAGUUCUUUGGAUGUUGUUGUGGGGUCUUUUGUGACCUCUUGGAUGAGUCGUCGCUGUGCUCUUGGGGUAAUUUUGGUCGGCCGGCUGCUCCUGGGAAGGUUCUCCACUCUUCCAUGUUUUUGAAUAAUGUCUCUCACUGUGGUUCGCUGGAGUCCCAAAGCUUUAGAAAUGGCUUUAUAACCUUUUCCAGACUGAUAGAUCUCAAUUACUUUCUUUCUCAUUUGUUUCUGAAUUUCUUUGGCUCUCGGCAUGAUGUCUAGCUUUUGAGGAUCUUUUGGUCUACUUCACUUUGUCAGGCAGGCCCUAUUUAAGAGAUUUCUUGAUUGCGAACAGCUGUGGCAGUAAUCAGAUCUGGGUGUGGCUAGAGAAAUUGAACUCAGGUGUGAUAAACCACAGUUUUAACAGGGGCCAAACACUUCUUCACAUAGGGCCAUGUAGUUUUGGAUUUUGUUUUCCCUUAAUAAUAAAAACCUUCAAUGUUGUGUUUACUUGUGCUAUCUUUGACUAAUAGUUACAUUUUUUUAAUGAUCUGAAACAUUAAAGUGUGACAAACAUGCAAAAAAUAAGAAAUCAGGAAGGGGCCAACACUUUUUCACACCACUGUAUGUGUGUAUAAUCAUGAUGAUUUCAUGUUCAAUAAUUUCCUCAUUUUGCCAUUGUGCUUUACUGUUAUUGGACUCUUACAGACAAUGAUUUUUUUUGGACCAAAAGACCGAAGUGCUUCAACUACUGCAUGUUUACUACAAUAGUUUACCCUCUAAAAUGAAGCUAAAUAUUCUUAAAAUUCAGUGUGUUACAAAAUAUGAUACUGUAACUUCAUAUAAAUGUCACUGACUCUGAAUUCUGCAAAUUUCAAUUGCCUAUCACAGAGUAGAUAACAUAUUUUUUGUAUAUAUGUAAGGAAUAUUUGUUUAUGUAGGUGUUGUUGUACACUUGUGUGUGAUUUACCAUGAACCUGUUUUAUGUUGUCUGUUUGUACAGUUUUAUACACAGAAAAAUAAGCAUUGCAGAGUUUUCAGGCAAUCUAUUAAGUUAUUUAUUUUAAGGGAAAGAUGUAUAAUUUUCAUUUAAGCAUGCUGCAGCAAUUUUGGUUAGAAAAUGAUCAAAUUGUUUCAGAAUGAUAUACGUUGUUGUUUUAUAUAUAUACUUUUCUAAUAUGUUUGUGUUCUUAUUAAAGUGUCCAUAUAUGUUUCUUAGUAUUUUUAGCUAAAAUUGAUUUAACAAUAUAUUUAAAGAUUUAUUUAUGGGCUUUUUUUAUGCCUUUAUUGGAAAGGACAGUGUAGAGUAGACAGGAAAGUGUUUUUUGGUGAAGAGAGAGGGGAGCGAGAUCGGCAAAGGACCACGAGCCGGGACUCGAACCCGGGUCGCCGUCAGCGCAGUUGCGCAGUAUAUGUCGGCGCACUAACCGCAAGGCUAUUGGCGCCGACAAUUUAACAAUAUAUUUAUUGAAAUAUAUGCAUAUUAAUUUAUUCUGUUUAUUUAUCAGUAUUAUUUUAUAUGCUAUCAUAUUAAAUCUUUUUUUCUGUGUGAUUAUAAUAUAGUUUGAAAAUUAUGCUUUAAUUUCCACAUUGCUUUGAUUGUAUUAAAUGAUGGUUGCAUCUUUGUUAUACAUAAACUGUAUGAGCAAUAAAAAAAGAAGAGGUGAACAUGUAAACUUCGUGGCAUGGAAAGAGCUUUCCACACACAGAAUGUAUAGCUCUCUGUCAUUGUCCUGCUGAAAGGCGAUGCAAAUACAUCCUGAAUGAAACAUUCAUGUGCUAGUGGUUCUCAGAUGGGAUGUUUUGAACAGAAUGUUUGAAUAUUGUAGGUGAUUUUUUUCUUGAUAGGUGCUACAACUGAUCUGUCAAUUAGCUUUUAAUGAUAGCAUUAUUAUUUAAAGGAACAUUGCAUUCAAAAAUUACAUUUUGGUCCAAUUUAUCCCACUUACAUGUUGCUUUAAACCCGUAUGCCGUUAUUUUUUGUGUGUGUUUUUUGGAGAUUUACAGACAUGAUUAUUAUGAAGCUGCAUGAAGAUCUUUCAGAAAUUCUUCUUUUGUUCUCUUCAGGCAAAAUACUAGCAUACAGGUUUGGAACAACAUGACGGUGAGUAAAUGACAGCAUUUUCACUUCGGGUGAACUACAGUAUUCCUUUAAUUGAAAAUGUGAGGAAGAAUCAAUAAGUUGUAUGUCUUUAGAAAUGAAUCACCAAGGCCGGCUAAGUUCUCACUAAUGUCUGUUAUAUAAUGAAUAUGUUGUGUCCUAUAAUGUAAAUGUGAAUUGAGGCACAUGACCAACAACUGAACCGCUUAGUCCUUUAACUGCUGGGACUCAUUUUCAAAAUAUUGGUACUUUCUCUUUCAAACCUCAUUCUACUUACUCUUUCAACAGCUUCUUGCUAAAUAAACAACUAUAACAAAUA